UACAGAGGUCUCAAGCGUUGUUCGGAUUCAUUGGGCGUAAAGGGUGCGUAGGUGGCGCCGUAAGUCGGGUGUGAAAUUUCGGAGCUUAACUCCGAAACUGCAUUCGAUACUGCGGUGCUUGAGGACUGGAGAGGAGACUGGAAUUCAUGGUGUAGCAGUGAAAUGCGUAGAUAUCGUAAGGAAGACCAGUGGCGAAGGCGGGUCUCUGGACAGUUCCUGACACUGAGACACGAAGGCCAGGGGAGCAAACGGG
rnacentral:rRNA from 1 species